UUUACAAUUGUGGUAGAACUAAUGUAAUUAAAAAGCUAUUCGUGACUUGUAUUGUGAGUUGAACAGGAAAGUGAGAACAAAGGCGUUGUUGUAGCCAUUUUGGCCAUGCUACAACGAUGCAGACAGCUCUCUUUGUCACUCCUACAACGUGCUUGUUCAAACAACUCAUUUUCUUUCAGGUUUUGUGCUUUAGGCAGAGUGACAUGAUGCAGGAUGGAGUUGCGAAGAGUUCCAGGACACGGUCAAAGAUGGCUGGAACAGUCGGAUGGAUUUGCAAUCAUGCAAUAAAGGCCCACAUGAGACGCCAUGGUCAAAUGGUUGGAGAUCGUUGAGAGUUUGCAGCUAUUGAUGAAAGUUGUUGUAAUAAUAGCAAGUAUCACCACAGAAGGGCCGG